rnacentral:misc_RNA from 1 species
UUUCCGUAGGUGAACCUGCGGAAGGAUCAUUAGCAAAUUGAAGAUGUUAGCGGCCCUCUUCGGAGUCCCCAGCAUCAGAUCAUAUCCACAACACCUGUGCACUGUAAGGCUGUCUUGAACGCGAACGUGGUUAGGGCGCCUGCCCAUUUUAUACAAACCUUAAAGUGUCAAACGUAGUCUUAUUAUAAUCUAAUAAAACUUUCAACAACGGAUCUCUUGGCUCUC